AGUGAACGCUGGCGGUAGGCCUAACACAUGCAAGUCGAACGGCAGCACAGUAAGAGCUUGCUCUUACGGGUGGCGAGUGGCGGACGGGUGAGGAAUACAUCGGAAUCUACUUUUUCGUGGGGGAUAACGUAGGGAAACUUACGCUAAUACCGCAUACGACCUACGGGUGAAAGCAGGGGAUCUUCGGACCUUGCGCGUUUGUAUGAGCCGAUGUCGGAUUAGCUAGUUGGCGGGGUAAAGGCCCACCAAGGCGACGAUCCGUAGCUGGUCUGAGAGGAUGAUCAGCCACACUGGAACUGAGACACGGUCCAGACUCCUACGGGAGGCAGCAGUGGGGAAUAUUGGACAAUGGGCGCAAGCCUGAUCCAGCCAUGCCGCGUGGGUGAAGAAGGCCUUCGGGUUGUAAAGCCCUUUUGUUGGGAAAGAAAAGCAGCAGAUUAAUACCCCGCUGUUCUGACGGUACCCAAAGAAUAAGCACCGGCUAACUUCGUG
rnacentral:rRNA from 1 species